rnacentral:lncRNA from 1 species
GUUAAGGAAAGGGGGUGAGUUUGGAAACUCAGUGUGCAACAAGCCCCUUUUAGAGCCCAAAACAAUAACAGCCUGUUGGGUCUAAGCCCAAAUCCAAUCUCAUACAUGUACUGGGCCAUAGCCCUUUUCAUAUUUCAUAUUUCAUAACACUGGGCCGAAGCCUUUUCAAAUUUCAUAUUACUGGGCCGAAGCCUUUACUGUAAACGGUAUGGCCCAUAGGCCCAUUUCAAUAUCACAUAUAAUGUCAAUGAAAGAAUGCAAACCCAUUUGGGGAGACUACUCAACCCACCAUCCGCUACUCUCCACCCGUACCAACCAACACACCAUGUGGGGAUUAACUCGACCCACCCCGC